AGUGAGCCGCUCCUAAGAGAUGGGGAAACUCCAUUCGGAAGAGGGCGGUUCACUCCGCCCCGCCUAUCGAAAGGGAACCAGGUUAAUAUUCCUGGGCCGGCGGCGUGGGUACUGCGGCAACGCCUCAGCGGCGUGGGGAGACACUCGACGGAGGUCCGGCCAGCGUUCUCUUUGCUGGUUAACAGCCUGUUACCCUGGAAUCGGUUUACCCGGAG
rnacentral:rRNA from 1 species